rnacentral:lncRNA from 1 species
GCAAGAUAAAAGCAAUCACAACUCAACAAAUGAGGGUUUUGGCUGUUUAGUUUUUACUCAUUAAACAAACAUCAGUAUGAAGAAUGGAAACACAAAAGGAUUUAUGAAAUGAAGCUGUAUCUUUUAAAGGAAGAAAAACGUCUUCUGCUGACAGUAGUUCUGUAGUAGAUCUUUUCUGAGAAAAAAAUACUGGUGCUUUUUUGGAUUCGAAGGAUGCAACCAAUCUAUGCCUCUGUGUGAUAGCAGCUGCAUGCUGAGGACUUUCAAAUACACAGCCACAUAGGAUUCUGCAGGAAACUUUUUGUAGAAGGUGCAAGUGACAAAUGGAGACAAAAUAGAGUGAGUUUUGAGUUGUGAGUUGAUGCCCUCCUGUGUCAUAUAUUCAUGUCAUUGAACCGAUUUUCACAUUGGAAGUCUGGAAUCACAAUAGCCUUUCCUCUGUGUGUCAGCUGUGAACACACCUGGACUGGCAACUUUUCUUUGCUCCAUUUCUUGUUAUUCACUAGGUGGACUGUAUUCACUUGUUAUUUAAUAUUCAUCUAGGUUUUUAGUUUCUCCAUAUAUUUUUAAAUGAUGUAAAUUAUUUUUGCAGAUCUAUCAUCUAUCCAUAUCUAUUAUGUAUGUUUUGCUUUAAGAUAUCCACAAAUGGUGAAACAAAAUCUACAACAUGUUCUCUCUUGCUGAAAAUAGGAAAUUCUUUUUUUUCCCCUGACUUAUGGCUUCAGAUAAUAUGGUUUUACUUUGCUAGAUUUAAAAUUGAGUUUUUCUUAAUAAUGCCUUUUUCAAGUUAAGGAAUAAAACUAGAUUUAGCUUUAUAGGUUAAUAAUAUUUCAAUACAUUCACACCCCCAUUCAAAUACAAGCAUAAAAGAUUGAGAUUUGCAGAAUUUAAAGAAAAUUGGUUUGUUUUUGGCCUUGAAAUAAGAAUAAAAAUUGCUUUACACUAUAAUAAAAACAGACACACAAUCUUUAAGGCAUUUUAGUGUGACAUGAACUCAUUUUCCUUCCUCGUCUUGACAGCAAGAUCUUCUGCCAAACAGUGGCAGAAAAAUAUGUUUAAUUCAUUGAUUAAUUUUUAAACAUAGUAAUAAUUAAGAAAAGGCAUUUUGACACCUAAAGUCUCUAUUUUAGACAAUUAAAUUUUGCUUUAGCUAAGGGUUAUUGACUUCUGGAUGAUACUGGGAGCAACACUCCUCAGGGUUUAAACUAUUCCUGUAGGACCAUCUGUUAUUGGCAGAGCUGUGCAUCCUCUCCAGCUGAUGCAGGGUCAACCCAAGCAAAUAGUCAGGAUUAUUCAAAACACAGUCAUGGAUCCUGAUGCUCUUAAAUCUCCAGUGGAAGUCAGACAAACCAAAUAUUGGUAUAUUAUUACCUAUAUCAUAAUAAUUAAGGAGAAUAUAAGAAAGUCUCUCAAAAUAAGAGACCAUGUCUUACUCACUUAUUUCUAACAGUGAACCUGCAAUAGUGCUGAGAAUUGUGAACUUAGAGACAUUUGGUAAGUGUUGAUCUAACUUGGGAGACCUGCUGAUGUUGGAAUUACACUUUGUGUAUGUACAAUAUUUUCAACUAAAUUAUUCUAACACCAUAUAAAGAAGAGAUUGUCAUUUUUAUUCACCCUACAAUUCUCUAUCACUUCCAGACAUCUGUGGUUUCCAUUUUUCUCCCUCACUUCUUACACACCAUUAUGUCUGCCAAUCAUACAAUGUUUUCAUUUAUAUAUUUUAGAAUAUAAUCAGAAGUGGAAUGGUGAGUUAAAUAAAAGUGGUUCAGCCUCCUUCUCUUUCAAGCCUCCUCAUCCAAAAAAUUUAUUUAAACCUAUGAAGACUUUAAUUACUGUCUACUUCUAAAUAAUUAUGAUAAAUAGGUUUGCUUAGAUACCUGUUUGAUAGAAAUACAUGUUAUCGGAAGAAAUAAGUAGUAUUACAGUGACAUCCCCUUAAUAGAAUGUUCAGCUAUUCACAUAGUACACUAGAAUCCAGUAUAAAUUCUAUAAAAAGAAGCAAAAUAAUAAUGGAAUAAUGAUUAAUGCAGUGUCUAGCUACUAUGUUAAAUUUAGAAAGAUAAAUUUGGUGUCUAAUAGAUCUAUAGAAUAGUUUCAUAUUCUCAAUUCUCAAAUGUGCCUUUGAGAUUAUGUAGCCUAUUUAAUUUUUUUUCUACCUGAAGAAACAGUCUAUGAGAAAUAGUUUGAUUUAUGGAGUAAGAAAAAUGAUGUGGUGAACUACUACAUAGAAAACUGUGUAGUAUCGGUUACAUCAUUUAAAUGUACCGGGCCUUGAUUUCCUUGUCUAUAUAAUGAAUGUAGUCAUGCCUAAUCCAAAAAGUUGUCCGGAGAUUAAGUGAUUGAGUUUAUUAGUUUUUCCAUCCUUUUGUUAAGGGGUCUCCCUUCACCACUGAGAGGAGUGCCCAUGUUCACUUACUUAAUAAAUGCCCUCUUAGUUUUGUUUUUUAUGGUUUUCUUGGAUCUGAGUUUCAUUAUCUUUUUUAUAGGUAAGUCAUCAAUGUUGACCUGUUUUUCAUUUAAACCACUAUCUGAUCUUUGGUUAUUUAAGAGUUCUGAAACAGCAUCCGAACAAAGCAUAUGAAAUGUUUCAUUUUGGUCUCAGUUCCUAAUGUUUUACAUUGGCAUUAUUGCUUCAUCUGAAAGUAGUUUACCUAUUUCAUUUGCAUGUUGUGUUUUAAAAUUAUUCUCUUCCUUUUAGUAUUUGUUAUUAAUUUAGCUCUUUGUCAGUUACCCAUAGGAGCUCCACCCGUCUGGGGAUUUUCACCUUAUACAUCACUCCCAUUACAAAACAACAUAUAAGAGAGUGAAUCUGUUUCACAGUCAGUACUUAACACAGCUGGAGUCAUUUGAAACCUGCUGGUUCUUGCUUCCAAUUAUUCCAUAGACUAGAAAGCAUCCCUGUUGAAGUAAUGGCAUCCAUGGUGUAAUCAAACUAGUCAAAAUGCCCUGGAGUAUAUGAAUCAUAUUUCUGGGAUUUGCUAAAUUGAUGCCAGAGGCAUAAUAACCAACAGUUUUUACUAUGUUUUUCUUAUUUUACAAUGAUAUGCAUUUAGUUAUAAGCAAGUUUUUAUUGUCUGAAUAUAUAAAUUUAUAAUGCUUGAGUAAUAUAUGGGUGACAUAAUAAUAUCAAUGACACCCAACAAAUUAAAAAGUAAUGCAGUAUGUUUGUCUCUGAAAAGUACAUUUUAUAUAUAUAUCCUGAGCCAAAAUCCUCUACUUUUUUUUCUUAAAAAAACUAACCUUACAGGGGCAGGGGUAGUAGAAGUCAUCAAGAUAAAUUUUCUAAUUUGAAUUUGAAGCAAAUAUAAUAGAGAUUUGUAACUAAUUCAAUUAACAUUAUCAACUAAGAACUAGAGGUAGUCACAUUUCAGGUGGCUUCAUUGUGAUUUAGAAAGCAGAUAUUAAAAUUUUAACUUCUUAUUGGACUUUUCCUACCCUCUUAGUGCAUCUGAAUUGAUUUUAGAUUGUGGUUUUGUUUGAAUUCUAGUUUUGUGAAGGAUAAUGCCUCAGUUAUAAAGAGGGACUUAAAAAAAAUAGACAACAACACUUAUUAUUUGUGCUUGGAAAAGUUUAAUCAACAGAUAAAACAUGGCAAAUUGGUACCACUUUCUUUAGGCUUCUUGUUUUACACUAAGAUGUGAUUUCCCUUUUUAUAGUGUUAGGAUACUAAGAUGUGGUUUCCCAUUUUAUAAUGUCAGAGCAUGUGCAAAGUGUGGAAUAUUCUCUUGGUGGCCAGAACUCAUGGAGUUAUUUAAGGUCUAUAGCAUGCUAUAUAGAGUAGAUGUUCAAUGAAUUCUACCUAAUUCUACUAUGUGGGCAAACAUGGAGGUAAUCAUGCAAAAUUAUACUCUUCAAAAUACUGUAAUAGUAAAAAUUGGGCUUUAUCGAUUUGUUUUGAAAUAUAUAGCAUUCUCCUGAUAUCAAGUGCUAUAUAUGUAUAUACAUGCUUUAUAUAGUGAAAUGUACCUUAAGAUGAUCCUAUUUGUGUUGUCCAUAUUGGUAUCUUUUAUUAGCUUUUACAAAGGACAGUUCCAGGCCAUGUUAUGUAAAUUACAGUUCAGAUAAUGACUAAACACUCUAUGAAUAAAAUGAUAUUUCCUGCAGUGUACCUCGCCCAUCUUCCUCUAUGUUAACAGGGUUCAGUUGGUUUUCUCAUUUAGCAAUGUGAAGAUUUUUUUUGACUGCCGAACACUUACUUGGAUAUAUAUCUGACAACUAGACAAUAUCAAAACUUAC